CCAGCAGCUGCGGUAAUUCCAGCUCCAAUAGCGUAUAUUAAAGUUGUUGCAGUUAAAAAGCUCGUAGUUGGAUUUCUGGCAGGAGCGACCGGUCUCACACUCUUUGUGAAACCUGUGGUUUCCUCUGGCCUUCCUUGGGGAGACCCUGUUGGGCAUUAAGUUGUCGGGCAGGGGAUACCCAUCGUUUACUGUGAAAAAAUUAGAGUGUUUAAAGCAGGCUUAUGCCGUUGAAUAUAUUAGCAUGGAAUAAUAAGAUAGGACUUUGGUACUAUUUUGUUGGUUUGUGCACCAGAGUAAUGAUUAAUAGGGACAGUUGGGGCUAUUCGUAUUCCAUUGUCAGAGGUGAAAUUCUUGGAUUUCUGGAAGACGAACUACUGCGAAAGCAUUUAGCAAGGAUGUUUUCA
rnacentral:rRNA from 1 species